rnacentral:rRNA from 1 species
UACGGAGGAGGCAAGCGUUAUCCGGAAUUAUUGGGCGUAAAGCGUCCGCAGGUGGCACUUCAAGUCUGUCGUCAAAGACUGGGGCUUAACCCUGGAAAGGCGGUGGAAACUGAAGCGCUAGAGUGUGGUAGGGGUAGAGGGAAUUCCCGGUGUAGCGGUGAAAUGCGCAGAGAUCGGGAGGAACAUCAAUGGCGAAAGCAGGUAUCUGGACUAUUACUGACACUCAGCUGCGAAAGCUAGGGGAGCAAACAGG